rnacentral:rRNA from 1 species
UACGUAGGGUGCAAGCGUUAAUCGGAAUUACUGGGCGUAAAGCGUGCGCAGGCGGUUAUGUAAGACAGUUGUGAAAUCCCCGGGCUCAACCUGGGAACUGCAUCUGUGACUGCAUAGCUAGAGUACGGUAGAGGGGGAUGGAAUUCCGCGUGUAGCAGUGAAAUGCGUAGAUAUCUGGAGGAACACCGGUGGCGAAGGCGGCAUCCUGGACCGGUAUUGACGCUGAGGCGCGAAAGCCAGGGGAGCAAACGGG